rnacentral:rRNA from 1 species
UACGUAGGCAGCGAGCGUUGUUCGGAGUUACUGGGCGUAAAGGGUGUGUAGGCGGUUGUUUAAGUUUGGUGUGAAAUCUCCCGGCUCAACUGGGAGGGUGCGCCGAAUACUGAAUGACUUGGAGUGCGGGAGAGGUGAGUGGAAUUCCUGGUGUAGCGGUGAAAUGCGUAGAUAUCAGGAGGAACACCGGUGGCGAAGGCGGCUAUCUGGACAGAAACUGACGCUGAGGCGCGAAAGCUAGGGGAGCAAACAGG